CCUUUACCGAAGUGAUUGAUAGCAGGGCUAAAAAAUCAUAGGGCUUCUUCUAUUUUUAGUGUGAACUCACUUCUAUUCUAUAUCAAGAUAGGGGCUUCAGUACUUGGCUGACCGCCCGGUGGAAGACCUGGUUCUACCACACAAGGGCAGCUUUCGUAGUCCAGGAUUAUUUUCCUCAUAUGUAAUUUCACCUCAAUGUGGAAAUG
rnacentral:lncRNA from 1 species